CCUGCUCCUAGAGGCUUUGCAGGUGUGGCGGCUGUGUCACAUGUAUGCCAGUAGGUGGCAGAGAUGAGCGAGGCUCUGUCGAUACUCAGUGUUCUGACCUGUGAACAUUCGAUUAGCAAGCCUAACAUU
ensembl:snoRNA LOC120094489 small nucleolar RNA SNORA17